ncrna:unclassified sequences S10-Clostridia ribosomal protein leader
GAUAUGCGAUGAUGUAUGAGGUUGCGCCAUAACCCACGGCGGUAAUUCAUACGGAGUAUGUCCGAUUUUAAACCGGGCGA